rnacentral:rRNA from 1 species
GACGAACGCUGGCGGCGUGCUUAACACAUGCAAGUCGAACGGAAAGGCCCUGCUUUUGUGGGGUGCUCGAGUGGCGAACGGGUGAGUAACACGUGAGUAACCUGCCCUUGACUUUGGGAUAACUUCAGGAAACUGGGGCUAUUACGGAAAGGGAGCUCCUCCUGCAGGUGGGGGGUGGGAAGGUUUCGGCGGUUGGGGAUGGACUCGCGGCUUAUCAGCUUGUUGGUGGGGUAGUGGCUUACCAAGGCUUUGACGGGUAGCCGGCCUGAGAGGGUGACCGGCCACAUUGGGACUGAGAUACGGCCCAGACUCCUACGGGAGGCAGCAGUGGGGAAUAUUGCACAAUGGGCGGAAGCCUGAUGCAGCAACGCCGCGUGCGGGAUGACGGCCUUCGGGUUGUAAACCGCUUUCGCCUGUGACGAAGCGUGAGUGACGGUAAUGGGUAAAGAAGCACCGGCUAACUACGUG